rnacentral:lncRNA from 1 species
GCUCCCGAAUCGUGUAACUCAAGCAGAUAAGGAAAAAGCAAGCAUCGCAGUAAACUUCUGUGCUAGGAUGCAAGCUUAUUUCCAUUUUGUGAUGGAGUUCUUCAGCCCAGUGAUAUUGUUUGUUAAUCAACCCAGGCUCCAGCUAUCAGCAGAGGUGUUCCCUAAAUAAAUACUUUGGAAAACAUAUGGGUUUAUGUUUUCAUUCAGCAAUGCAUUUGUCAAAGUAUUUUCAAAUCAGUUAUACAUAAGUUGUUUGGGAAAGCUCAAAGUAGAUCACCUGAGUUGGUCACCACCAGCAGGAAAUGUCCCUUGCUAAGGGUAAUAUAGAUGCAAAGGUAGAAGUGUCCCUUGUCAAAUUCCACCAAGGGCAAGUGAUGCAACAGCUGUAGACCUGUUCACAGUGGCCUGAUGGGGGGUUGGGUGGGGUGCAUGUCAGUACUUUGAGGAUCCUGGCUCUAUCCCUACCCAUGGGAGAACCUUGCAUGUGAUUACAGCCACAAUUAUAAUGGGACUUGACAAAGUAAUUGAGAGAGGCAGCCGCUUUUGCAAUGUUCAGGACUUGUUCAAUGGAUUCUCUUCCCUGUUUUCAGCAGCAUUCAGAAGCUUUGGUGACCAGCUACGUUGUUUGGCAGCGGGCUAAAGGGAUCACAAUUGCACAGAGCAAGGAGCAUGCUGAACAGUGAUGUUCCAGUUUAAAAGGACAGAGCUGCAAACAAAGAUUGUCCCAGUUUUGGCCACUGGAGCUCUUUCAGCGGACAGUUCUCUUCGUCUAGAUUAUCCUGAUCUUAACACCACGGUCUUUUCAUAUAUCCUCUGGAGUCCAUUCAGAAGCAUUACUCGCCAACUGGACACUUACUUUCCUUGGAAAGAGGUGAGGAGGGAGAUGGGGCUACUCUGAUCACAGAAAUU